ACGAACGCUGGCGGCGUGCUUAACACAUGCAAGUCGAACGGUGAAGGGAUCAGCUUGCUGGUUCUGGAUGAGUGGCGAACGGGUGAGUAACACGUGAGUAACCUGCCCCCUUCUUCUGGAUAACCGCAUGAAAGUGUGGCUAAUACGGGAUAUUCUGGGUCUGUCGCAUGAUGGGUCUGGGAAAGAUAUUGUUUCGGUGGGGGAUGGGCUCGCGGCCUAUCAGCUUGUUGGUGGGGUGAUGGCCUACCAAGGCGGUGACGGGUAGCCGGCCUGAGAGGGUGGACGGUCACACUGGGACUGAGACACGGCCCAGACUCCUACGGGAGGCAGCAGUGGGGAAUAUUGCACAAUGGGCGCAAGCCUGAUGCAGCGACGCCGCGUGAGGGAUGGAGGCCUUCGGGUUGUAAACCUCUUUCGCCAGUGAAGCAGGCCUGCUCAUUGUGGGUGGGUUGACGGUAGCUGGAUAAGAAGCGCCGGCUAACUACGUG
rnacentral:rRNA from 1 species